GCCCUACGGGGCGCACCAGGCGCGAAAACUCCGCAAUGCGGGAAACCGUGACGGGGUUACCCCGAGUGCUCCCCUUGUGGGAGCUUUUCCCCGCUGUAAAAAGGCGGGGGAAUAAGCGGGGGGCAAGUCUGGUGUCAGCCGCCGCGGUAAUACCAGCCCCGCGAGUGGUCGGGGUGUUUAUUGGGCCUAAAGCGGCCGUAGCCGGCCCGGUAAGUCCUCCCUGAAAGCCCCAGGCUCAACCUGGGGAGCGGGAGGAUACUGCCGGGCUAGAGGGCGGGAGAGGCCGAGGGUACUCCCGGGGUAGGGGCGAAAUCCUGUAAUCCCGGGAGGACCACCAGUGGCGAAGGCGCUCGGCUGGAACGCGCCUGACGGUGAGGGCCGAAAGCCGGGGGAGCGAACCGGAUUAGAUACCCGGGUAGUCCCGGCUGUAAACGAUGCGGGCUAGGUGGUUAGGCGGGCGGAAGAGCCCGCCUAGUACCGCAGGGAAGCCGUUAAGCCCGCCGCCUGGGGAGUACGGCCGCAAGGCUGAAACUUAAAGGAAUUGGCGGGGGAGUACACAAGGGGUGGAGCCUGCGGCUUAAUUGGAGUCAACGCCGGG
rnacentral:rRNA from 1 species